GCGGGCUCUUGUGUGCUGUCGGUUCCUGGCGCCUGCCCAGACUCCCAACCCCAAAUUCCUGAAUCCGCCACUUAUCUGUUGUCGAUGCUGCUGUGGUAGCGGCACGGCGACAAAGGAGACGACUGGGAAGGAAUUCAUCACAAUCGUGUUUAAAAAAAUUCAAAGCGCACAAUGAGAGAGAAAGAGACAGAGACAUGAUUUUUACACAAAAAUGUACGUACAAAUGAGUU
rnacentral:lncRNA from 1 species